rnacentral:lncRNA from 10 species
CAGCAGAGCUGGGAGAGGCACUUGCUCUUUAGGCUCUGGGCCCAGUGUUCUUUGUACAGUACCAGGGCCUCUCUGAGUGAAAAUCUGAAGACACAAGCUCAAAGCCUGCAGGGCCCAGGGAGCUGCCGUUGUUGGUGAACUGGCACUGGGGCCAGCUCCAGGAGGUGCGGGAGCCUGGCCAGCUGGAGGAGAACACCCCCCACCUAAAGGGGCAUCUGCUCCUCUGCCCAGCCUGUGGUUCCCCUGGGAGUGAAGGCCCAGCGUUGCAAGAUCUUAAUGGAAGUCACACGUUGGAGAUUUUAGAUGAAUCUGACAAACCUACCUCAGUUACCCCAGAACUCCUAUGACCGGCUUUAAGCUCUGGUCAGGGAAACAGAGGCAAAAGCAGCCUGAGAAUUACUGAGGAAGACUGGACGGAAACCAGGGUCAGGUGGGGCUCAUGGCUUUUUGAACCCCUGAGUCUCCAGCUCACCUGUAGAGUGAGCUCUUUGUUUGAGCAAGACGCAAGCUUUGUAUCCUCAUCCAUAGCCCAGGAAAGCACCAACUUAUAAGGUCAAAGAGAAGGCUGCAGAAAACUGUGCAAGAUUACGGGAAUCCAUCCUUAUCUUCAAACACUCUGCUGUUGUGAAAUAAGGACUUGAUUUCCAUCAAGAAGGAAGAGG